UUAUAAGAGACAGCAGCCGCCACGGUAAAACGGAGGGUGCAAGCGUUAAUCGGAAUUACUGGGCGUAAAGCGCACGCAGGCGGUUUGUUAAGUCAGAUGUGAAAUCCUCGAGCUUAACUUGGGAACUGCAUUUGAAACUGGCAAGCUAGAGUCUUGUAGAGGGGGGUAGAAUUCCAGGUGUAGCGGUGAAAUGCGUAGAGAUCUGGAGGAAUACCGGUGGCGAAGGCGGCCCCCUGGACAAAGACUGACGCUCAGGUGCGAAAGCGUGGGGAGCAAACAGGAUUAGAUACCCCGGUAGUCCCUGUCUCUUAUAC
rnacentral:rRNA from 1 species